rnacentral:rRNA from 1 species
UACGUAGGGUGCAAGCGUUAAUCGGAAUUACUGGGCGUAAAGCGUGCGUAGACGGUUGCGUAAGUCAGAUGUGAAAGCCCCGGGCUCAACCUGGGAAUUGCAUUUGAGACUGCGUAGCUAGGGUGCGGAAGAGGGAAGCGGAAUUUCCGGUGUAGCGGUGAAAUGCGCAGAUAUCAGGAGGAACACCGGUGGCGAAGGCGGGUCUCUGGGCCGAUGACUGACGCUGAGGAGCGAAAGCGUGGGGAGCGAACAGG